CCUACGGGUGGCUGCAGUGGGGAAUUUUGGACAAUGGGGGCAACCCUGAUCCAGCCAUUCCGCGUGAGUGAAGAAGGCCUUCGGGUUGUAAAGCUCUUUUGUCCGGAGCGAAACGGGCGGCCCUAAUACGGUCGUCUACUGACGGUACCGGAAGAAUAAGCACCGGCUAACUACGUGCCAGCAGCCGCGGUAAUACGUAGGGUGCGAGCGUUAAUCGGAAUUACUGGGCGUAAAUCGUGCGCAGGCGGUUAAUGCCCCGGGCGAAACCUGGGAAGGGCGUUUGGGACUGCAAGGCUGGAGUGUGGCAGAGGGGACUAGAAUUCCUGGUGUAGCAGUGAAAUGCGUAGAUAUCAGGAGGAAUACCGAUGGCGAAGGCAGGUCCCUGGGCUGACACUGACGCUCAUGCACGAAAGCGUGGGGAGCAAACAGGAUUAGAUACCCCAGUAGUC
rnacentral:rRNA from 1 species